rnacentral:rRNA from 1 species
UACAGAGGCCUCGAGCGUUAGGCGGAAUCACUGGGCGUAAAGCGUGCGUAGGCGGCGUGUUAAGUGAGAUGCGAAAUCUUGUGGCUCAACCAUAUAGACUGUGUCUCAUACUGGCAUGCUAGAGAAUGGCAGAGGCAAGUGGAAUUACCGGUGUAGCAGUGAAAUGCGUAGAGAUCGGGAGGAACAUCUGUGGCGAAGGCGGCCACCUGGACCAAACACUGACA